rnacentral:rRNA from 1 species
GAUGAACGCUGGCGGCGUGCCUAAUACAUGCAAGUCGAGCGAACAGACGAGGAGCUUGCUCCUCUGAUGUUAGCGGCGGACGGGUGAGUAACACGUGGAUAACCUGCCUAUAAGACUGGGAUAACUUCGGGAAACCGGAGCUAAUACCGGAUAACAUGUUGAACCGCAUGGUUCAACAGUGAAAGACGGUCUUGCUGUCACUUAUAGAUGGAUCCGCGCCGCAUUAGCUAGUUGGUAAGGUAACGGCUUACCAAGGCAACGAUGCGUAGCCGACCUGAGAGGGUGAUCGGCCACACUGGAACUGAGACACGGUCCAGACUCCUACGGGAGGCAGCAGUAGGGAAUCUUCCGCAAUGGGCGAAAGCCUGACGGAGCAACGCCGCGUGAGUGAAGAAGGUCUUCGGAUCGUAAAACUCUGUUAUUAGGGAAGAACAAAUGUGUAAGUAGCUAUGCACGUCUUGACGGUACCUAAUCAGAAAGCCACGGCUAACUACGUG